GUAUGUCUCCAUUCCUUCCCCACUUCUUUUCCUUUUUUAUGUCUCAUAUUUCCUGUCACGUGCACGCAUUAUGCCUCCCAUCUUUACAGCUUUUAGUGGGACAGUCACAAUUUUGUGGUUCUCUCCCGCUGUUUAGCUUUAGUUGUCCCCAGGUAGCACAGCGUGAGCGCACACUAGCACUGUGUAGCAGGCACUAGGACAAUACAGGGAGUGCUUCAGCAGGUCCACCCCUUUUGUGUGCUGGCU